GGUGAACGCUGGCGGCGUGCCUAAGACAUGCAAGUCGAGCGGGCCGCGGGUUUUUACUCCGUGUUCAGCGGCGGACGGGUGAGUAACGCGUGGGGGACCUACUCGCCUUGGCGUGACAACCCGUGGAAACUCGUGCUAAUCCUCCAUGUGGACCCGCCCCGUGGGGUGUGUCCAAAGGGCUUUGCUCGCUUGCGGGUGGGCGCGCGUCCCAUCAGCUAGUUGGUGGGGUAGUGGCGGACCAAGGCGCCGAUGGGUAGCCGGCCUGCGGGGGUGGGCGGCUGAAGGGGCACUGAGACACUGGGCUCACGCCUACGGGCGGAAGCGGGUAAGAAGCUUCCGCAAUGGCAGAAAGGCUGAAGGAGCGACGCAGCAAGGAGGAAGACGGGAUGCGGGGUGUAGAGUCGUGAACCGGGGACGAAUCCCACGACGAGGGAAUUGACGGUACCGGUGUAGUAGCGCCGGCCAACUACGUG
rnacentral:rRNA from 1 species